AUGCAUACUUUUCUUUUGAACCUACUUUGAAUUUUCAAACCUUCACAAAACAAGCUUUACUUUUUUCAUGCUUUUAAGUUUUCACAACUUCCCACGUGGGUUCGUGAUUUUCAGGAAGCUUUAUCCACCCCUCCUUUUCUUUUGUGCGGUUUUGAUACCUACAAAUCCAACAAAAACUUUUAUGCGGCUUUAUUCCUCCCUCUCUGGCGAAAUGGGUUUUUUUAAGAGUCCCCAUUUUUCUUGGCUCUCAUACAGGGUAAUUUUCCUCCAGAAGCAACUGAUAUCCUUGGGUACUCGUCAUAUUUCAACUUUCUAUUUGGAUUGGGUCACCGUGGAUUUUUCAGUGAGGAUGGAUAAGGUCCCCGAAGGCUUUCACUUUUCCUCUGCUGUAUUGCUCUUUUGCUUUUGCCACUUCACUUGUGUUUCUUUUUAUGAAUCAAGAACUCAAAACGAAGAGGGCGGUGGGAGCGAAGCAGGCGUCAUAGGUAAAGGCUUCUCUUCUAUUUGGUUGUUGGACGAACCUGUUUUUGCAGUACGAGUUCGUUGAAGACAAGUAUUGAUUCAUGGCUCCCAAGUUGAUGCCUAUUUAUAGGCAUCAUAGGAGGGUUCCAGAGCUUGUUACGUGGGGGGGAAAGAUGGAGGGCAUGACUUCCUGCCACUCUCUGUUAACCACCAUUUCUGACUCCACGUUCCUUUUUGUUUGCAGAAAAUGGGGAGCACUUGUAUUUUUUUCUUUUGUGUAUGUUACUUCCCCCCUUUUGUAGGAGAAAAUAAAUUUUUUAUUUAUUUCUGAAUGUUUUUGUGGGUAAAGCCCAUCCUCAUCUUUUGGGCUUGGAUUACACCUUGUAGUUUGACCCAAUUUGUGUGGACUCUAUUUUUUCAUAUGUUUAUUAUUUUUUUGU